rnacentral:misc_RNA from 1 species
GAAAUGCGAUAAGUAAUGUGAAUUGCAGAAUUCAGUGAAUCAUCGAAUCUUUGAACGCACCUUGCGCUCCUUGGUAUUCCUUGGAGCAUGCCUGUUUGAGUAUCAUGAAAUCUUCAAAGUAAAUCUUUUGUUAACUCAAUUGGUUUCUACUUUGGUAUUGGAGGUCUUUGCAGCUUCACACCUGCUCCUCUUUGUUCAUUAGCUGGAUCUCAGUGUUAUGCUUGGUUCCACUCGGCGUGAUAAGUUAUCUAUCGCUGAGGACACUGUAAAAGGUGGCCAAGGUAAAUGCAGAUGAACCGCUUCUAAUAGUCCAUUGACUUGGACAAUACUUUUAUGAUCUGAUCUCACAUCAGGUAGGACUCCCCGCUGAACUUAAGC